GACGAACGCUGGCGGCGUGCCUAAUACAUGCAAGUCGAACGCAGUGGGGACGGGUGAGUAACACGUGGGUAACCUCCCAUCAGAGGGGAUAACACUUGGAAACAGGUGCUAAACCGAUACUGAUGGAUGGACCCGCGGUGCAUUAGCGAGUUGGUGGGGUAACGGCUCACCAAGGCGACGAUGCAUAGCCGGCCUGAGAGGGUGAGCAGCCACACUGGAACUGAGACACGGCCCAGACUCCGACGGGAGGCAGCAGUGGGGAAUCUUGGGCAAUGGGCGAAAGUCUGACCGAGCAACGCCGCGGGUGUGAAGAAGGUUUUCGGAUCGUAAAACUCUGUUGUUGGAGAAGCGGUAUCUAACCAGAAAGCAACGGCUAACUACGUGCCAGCCGCCGCGGUAAUAC
rnacentral:rRNA from 1 species